UCACCGCUCUGGGGAACAAUGAACAAAUUUAGCCGAUAUCCGUUUUCAUUCAUCUCACCGGAUUCUUCUGGCUUAUUACUCUCGUGUCGUUAGCACUGGCGCGCGACACCAGAACAUGGGGGUGCUCCUCUCUUGCUGCCUUUUCCGUGGGUCUGUUAAACAAGGCGGGCCACCGUAGACAAGGAAAAGCAAACCGUUUCACUGUAACCGGACGUUCCGGAAAACCAUCCGCACGCCUCUCCUCGGAACCGCGGCUCUCCUUUUCGCCCAAUUCCCCAAGGCGCGUCCGACGAUCCCUAUUUGUUGACUUCCGCCUUAUCCAAGAUAGACGAUGGCAGCCUUCUGUGAAAUAACACCCUUGCCACAUUACCCGCUUUCCCCUACAACCAACGGGCCCUCGUUGCAAUAGCGCAGGAUGUACGUAACUUUGAAAUCUUCUCGAUUCCCAUCUGCCAAUCCUUUUCCCCACCGCUUUGCUCAGGGCCAAAAGCGCCGCGUCUGUAGCUGCCCAAUCCGAAAGGAACGCGAUCCAUACUCAAGCGGAGUCUUCCCCGCCUUCUGCAAACCCAAUCUGAAUAGCUUCACAAAGAGGAAGCCGGUGAUGGGCGCGCCAUCCUCGCGUAUAAAGGAGGGGCCCUUAAUGUCAGGCCGAGUCGUUAAGAAUUGCUGUCCGUUGAUGUCUGGGCAAAUGGGCCCAUUUUUUAGGGCACCUUUGCCCGCUCGGUCGGUUUUGGACCUACUCGGCCACACGUCUACCCUCUGCUCGUUCAGCUCCACGUUUGCCAGACCUCACAGCUCCCCAACUUCGAAAGGGAAGAAAAACGGCCACGCAAACGUUUGGUGGAAAUAACGUUUUAUACGUUGAAAAACAUUUGCCCUAAUAUGUGAAGCGAACCAUCUAACGUGUCAACCUACAAAGGUCUCCUAGAGUCUUGUCGAAUGCGACCUCUGUUGAACCCUUUUAUCGCCUGCCUGACAAAGGGGUUGGUCAAAUGUUCCCUACCCUGUAACUUAAACCGAAAAGCCAAGAGCUGCCUUAAUCUUCUCGAUCUGCGCCACCGACUUUCCCUGCUCUGCCGUCCAUUACACCCACUAAAACAUAAGCUCCUGCCUGUCCUGGUGGGAAUGUAGACACCCCCCCCCCCAAUUGGGCAGCUGCUCGCAAUCUUUCCAGACCUUACCGUACGACGCCCACGUGGACCGGGUCACCGACGACCUUCCGAUCCGAUCGUCCCGAGCCGCCGUGGGAAUCGGCGGCUUUUCGAUUCUGCCGCCGAUGCCGGUUGUCCAAAAGGCUCCCGCUGGAACGGAGAGAAAGAGUCAGCGAUCGCAUUACGCGCUCCGGGAAGGCGUACUGGCGGGAAAGCUGCAUUCGUUUGCAGGGACUAUUCACUUCCCAUUAAAUGUGUCCAGGAACCGGCGCCAACUCAGGAAGUCAUCUAUCGCUUCUUUUGGUAAGUGCAUGUGGUGAGGGGGUGCCACUGGCCCUAUCAGCAAUUUUCACAGCCUGCGAAAGAAUGCCAUCACUCGGCAGCCUGCUUAACGGUGACUGACGCUUUUGCGGCUGCCUUGUAAUCUAUCUGCAGAACUUUUCAAUUCACCCAAUUUGUCGAACGGCGGGUACCGUUCACCCGGCCGUGUAUCGAUCUGCAGCUCUGGAAAACCAAGGCAGGUCACGGGCCUCGCCGUUUUUUCCGGCGCUGAAGGGACCCCAAAUUUCUCAGUUCCCCUCCCGUAAAGUCUUUGACACGUGCGGCACUUGUUUGAAAUUGCGGAGUCCGCACAUAGGAAAUCAUCAAGGUAGCGUAGCAGACCUUUUAAAUUGGACCUAUUUGGUAGCACCCGUGCUAGAAAAGAGCUAUACUUGUCAAAGUAAGAGCACGAGAUGAUAGAACAUCCCGUUGGCAGACCUAGAUCCACGUGAAAGAAACCAUCCAGAGCACUUCCCAAUAGAUGAUGACAGUCUGGAUGAAUAGGUAGUACGCGGAACUCCGACGUAAUAUCUGCUUUGGCUAACCAAGCAACCGCUCUUGUCUUCUCGACUAGCGUCAAUGCCCGGUCAAAAGACGCGUAAGAUACCGAACAAAGUUCCGGUUUAAUAUCGUCAUUUGCCGACGAGCCUUUUGUGUCGGAUAAACGGCGAACGAGGCGGAACUUCCCGGCCUCUUUCUUUGGAACCGCCUCCGACGGAGACACUCUCAAGUCCUCCGACGGAGGGGCUGUAAAUAGGCCCGCCGUCCGGCCCGAUUCCGCUUCUUUGCAGGGUUUUCUGGUGUACUAGCUCAGGAUUUGCAGCUACCGAUUGAAGGUUUUCAUAUACUUCCCCUUGCGAUGUAGGUUGGAACGGUAUCCUAAAUUCCCACCGAAAGCCCUCCUUCGACACUUUAGCAUCCCCUAACGUAGCGAUCUAGCCGUGGGCGCAUUGAAGUUCACUGUCGUAACCAGCGGGUUGGCGCUAGCCUCUGACGAGACCGAUUGUCAUAAAGCCACCGUGCCGAGCCGCCGUAAACCCUAUAUGCCUCCCAAAUCUUGUCUACGUAGCAAAAUAGAGGGGAACAAUGUUGGGGGCGUUUCUCACCAAUGAUAUUGGCUAGGGAGCAGAAAGGCCAAAGGCAGUUGCCGAAAUUUCUGUGUAUCUCGCUAUAUCAUUUGCUCUGCUCCACGAUCUCCUUUUUCCAAUUCUCCUCCUUUAUCUGUACUCCCCGCGGCACUCACUUUUACGGCGCCGGAGAGGGCAGGGGCGGUCCAUGUGUGUUAGCGCAGUGGCGCUCUCUGCACCAGAAGUGGUGGAUUUUUGUUUGGAAAACCGGAAAUUGGGCUUUUUGUUACCGGGAGCGGCAUUUUUGCUGCCCCCGGCGACCAGGGGGGCGCUGGCGCCUGAGGAGAGUGUCUCAACUCGCCUCGUCGGCGGAGCGCCCCUUCCCAUCCGCUACAGUCCAAAAACUUUGAUCAAAAGAUAUAAGUCCCGAGGCUUUUUAUUUGUAAAAACAAAAUGUUUAGUUCUAGUCGCAUCCAAAAGUAUGAUACAUACUGACCCCGCUCGGCCCACCUUACGCGUUCCGUACCCUCCGGCACUUAGUCGUAGGUGUCUCUGUUAACAGCGUGUUCCGUCCGGAAUUGAAACCCUGUUACUCCCUCCCGUUUUACUCUAAAACCAAUUUAAAAUCAGAGGGGAUUAACUGUGUUUUCUUAAUAUAAACCCAAAAGCGCUGUGUUGGGCAUUUGUAUCCUAUCUCGUGUAUCGUGCGUUCCAAGUUAAAGUCACUUAUUCAUUCUAACAAUGUAAAUCAAACACUUGUAUAGCAUGUUAUGUUCAAGAUGUUUAAAAUGAUCCAACUCAAUUGACAUCAAUCACUUUGUACCUAUUAUUGACUCUAAAAGCCGCCAGGGAGUUGUUGAAUAUUUUCUAAUAAAGAUAUUAGGAAGAAUUCCAGUAAAUCUUUGUUCUGUCUAAUUCAGAUCUAGCAGGUAACAUCCAACUCCUAAUUGAGUCCUAAGGGCAAACGUGUCCCCAAAUGGAAAAUCUAAAACACCUCUCUCCUUUCUUAAAUGGUCUCCCCCUGUCCCCCUCAAUUUGACUCUCUCUAUCCCUUGAAUGGAGAAGACAUCUCUAUCUUUUCCAUGACAUGUUACAAAGUGUCUAGUAAUAUGACUCAUUUCUGCUGUUUGUGGUUUUUGGAUCUGACUCGUGCGCUCUCUAGCCCUUUCCUUCAAUUUCCUCGUCAUGCAGCCCACGUCGUGCUUCUGGUACUUCAAACGUGUCAUGAAAUAGAUGAUUAAAGCUGGAAUGACUUCAGGGGUGAGCUGCUCAGCAGUCCACUGCUUUUUUGGUUCCACUUGACUAUUGCGGCCCGUCCGCAGGAGCGAUUCUUGCCAUUAUGACGCCCCCAGGCAAUCUUAUUUUGCCGGCCCAAACCUCCCCACGGCACUCGCCUUUACGGCGCCGGAGAGGGCAGGGGCGGUCCACGCCGCUUAGUGUACAGAGAGCAAUUGCGCUCUCUGCACUAGAAGAGCCGAAUUUGUGGGUGGCAAACGGGAAAUGUGGCUAUUUGUUACCGGGAGCAGCCGGCGACCGGCAGGGCGUUGCCGCCUGAGGCGAGUGACUCGACUGGCCUCGUUGGUGGAUCGCCCCUGCGCAUCCGCUACGGUCACCUCCUAAGCUGCCCCGACGGGUGGCCUGCUUCCCGACAGGCUCAUCCUCUUUUGUUGUAAUGGCUGGUUAAUUCCCCUUUCUUCCCCUUAUCCCCAGGCCCUGGGCACUCCUUCUGAGGGCUCCCAACUUUCCCACCUCCCUAGUAAUUCCCUUAGCCCUGACAGCAAUCUCUGUGUGUCACGCAUCCCUGGGACAAUUCUGGAGCGCCGACUGUCUGACCCGCGUAAGGCACCUUCGGUUGCGCCGUUCACUGCCGGCCGCGGGCCGACUGCCUCCCGCUCCACCGACCGAUUGUGCUGGCCGGUCCACGACGAUGACUCCAUUGCCGCGGUGCUGGUGUCGGUGUCGACAUUGUCUCCUCUCUGUCCUGGGUUCCUAAGGGGGGGGGAUAAGCAAACAGUAGAAAUAGCACACUCACAGACAGGGGAACACUCUGUCCUCCCUGCCUGCUCUCUCUGCGAUGCUUGCUGCCACCUCUGCUGAAUCUGCUUCCAGACCUGGUUUGAUCCCUAGGUCUGCUCUCACUCUCACUUGUCUACAGUGCGUGUACAGUGCGAUUCUCCAGAUACAUUGUUCCCUGCUGCCCUAUUUGGUUGCGUGUGCCUCUGCUGGGGGCUUUGCUGACAGAGCUGCUCCUCCACUAGCCUUGUCUCUGAACGCUUGUGGCUCAGCAGAGCGCUUCUUCCUUGCUGCAACCUGCUUCUGUCUGCUUUGGGCUGUGUCUGAUCCCUCUCACUGCUGCUGAUCCUUUGUUUUUGUUACGGCGGCUGGUCAUUGUCAUUUAGAGGCACGUCUUUGAUCUGCGCCAUUCCGGCUAGAAGAGGUUUCUAUGUAACGAUGGGAGGUGCCGAGCGUUAGCUGUGCCGUAAAGAGUUUUCGUGAGCUAUGGAUGCAAAAAUAGGAACAAAGAGGAAUUUGUUAAUGCUUCAGCCUGCAGGAAGGAAGGGACUUUCUUUAGCCAAUGAUAAAGGAGACAGUUUGGGCCCUGCCCUCACAGUCAGCAACAGGAAGAGGAAGGGGUGUGGAACAGGAAGAGGAGGAGAAAUCAGCCAGCAUGGAGAGAUGUGUUUGGAGAUGUAGAGAAUGGGUUUUUGUGCUCCAGCCUGCGACCAGCCAGAGAGAGACUGCUAUUAACUUGCAAGGGGAGAACACUGCAGUGUGCAGCCUGUUUGAAGCUGUGUGCGGCUGUUUACCGGAGGAAGUUUUGUUGUCUGCUUUCACUGUGAUCCAGGAGUACAACGGUCAGCCAUCUUGAUAAGGAGAAAGCCACAGUGUGGAGAGAAGCGAGGUUUCUUGUGUGCGUCCUUUCCUCCCGGAAGGUGAAGUGAACUCUCCGGUGUCUGCGUCCCCCUUUCGGAGAAAGAAAGAAAAGGAUUUUUCAGAUAGAAGAGGUUUCUAUGCAACGAUGGGAGUUGCUGAGCGUUAGCGCCGCCGUAAAGAGUUUCCGUGAGCUACGGGCAAAAAUAGGAACAAAAGGGAGCUUGUUAAUACUUCAGCAGGAAGGAACUUUCUACAGCCAAUGAUAAAGGAGAAAGUCUGGGCCCUGCUCUCACAGCCAGCAACAGGAGGAGAGACAAGUCAGCAUGGAGAGGGGCGUCUGGAGAUGUAGAGAAUGGGUUUUUGUGUUCCAGCCAGAGAGACUGCAGUUGCACAGCAACCUAAGGUGGAAUUUGCCAUUCAUUUAGAUUGCUGUGCUAUUUGUAGCUCAGCCAGAACUUUCAACUUAGUAAGGGCCACCUCCCCCUAUCAGUACACAAUGGUUUUUGGUCUUGUGUAGAUACUGGGGUUUUAAAGUUUUUACAAGGAGUUGUUUUUGUUCAGGUUACUGAAUUGUGUUUAAUUUGUAUUUAAUCCUCUUUUUCAACUGUUGUAAUAGUUAUUUUGUGCUUGUUGCAGUGCCAUUUUGUCUAGUUACUGGGGCUUUGGGAAAGGAGACUCAUAUAUUUCCACCAACAACUAUGGAUGCACUAUACACAUUGAAAAUUCCACUUUUUAAGUAUGAAAAGCUGUUUGUUUGUAUCUUUGUAUUGGAUGUACAUUGAAUGUUUUUCUUUAAUUAUAGACUAAUUAGUACUGGCUAAUGAUUAUUUUAAUUUUUUUUUUUUUACUUGGUGGUAGUUUGCUUGUAAUGAUGUUUACUGGGUCACAGAGUUGGAAAUGUUAGCUUUCUUUGGUGUUUGAUAUAGUUGGUUGCUGUUUUUGUGGUUUAAAAAUCUUGGCCUUUAUAACAUUUUCUACACUUUGUCAUUAACUUAAUCUGAUGAAACAUUUGGAAUGUUAUGUGUAGGUAUAUCUUUGGUUUUGAAUUGACUUUUAAGGUUAAACUCAGAGAGAUCAUGCAGUUGCACAGCCAGUACUUUCAACUCAGUAAGGGCCACCUCCCCUAUCAGUACACAAUGGUUUUGGGUCUUGUGUAGACCCUGGGGUUUGAAGGUUUUUACAGGGUUCUGUUUUUGUUAGUUACUGCAGUGUUUGUUGAAUCCUAAUUUUGUUUAAUUUGCAAUUAAUCCUCUUUUUCAACUGUUCUAAUAAAGUCAUUUUGUGCACUGCCA